CAGGUUUCAUCAUUAAGAAAACUUCUUUAAAAACACAACUUUAGUAAAGUUCAGAGAAUGUUCUAAGAAUGUUAUCUAAAAACAUACAUUUCCGUUCUCAGAAUGUGAAGAAAACUUUCCAUAAAAACCACAAGAACACUUUAGGGUGUGUAUAAAUUUACUCUGGAGUGCCAGAGUGUGCUCAGGGUGUUCGUAAAUUCAGAGCAUUGUCAGAUUGUCUGUUUCUAAAUUCAGAGCGUUUUGCUCUCGGAGCGUUCAGAGCGUAGACUGGACACUCUGGCCGAGGAGUAGGGUUGAUCCGAGCCUUCUGACCUCACAACAGCAGUCAAGCACCCAAGAUAACUGGCUAAAGUUGGCUAGCUACUUCCAGACACAAAUGAGAGAACACCUCACUCUGACCAUUUUAUUCUCCCUAGCAGAAGUGGUUAGGCUGAGAAUGUUCUAAGAAUGGUAUUUGAGAAACAUAUACAUUCCGUUCUCUGCAGCAUCAAAAUUAUUUCUAUCCUCUAUCUUGUUAAGUGUGUUCAGGUGUUGGCCAUGCCCUCUAAUUGGCCACACCUGAUCUUAAUGAGAGCUUGUUUCCUUUGAAAUGGGGUUUGUUUGAAUAGACUGAGAUAAACAGCUUUGUAUGAGUUUAAAAAAACAUGGCAUGCUAGUUCCAUCCUGGUGGCGCAGUGGAUUAAUUCCAUUGAUAAAGAACAGACGAUUAUAGGUUCCAAUCUCACUGAUGCUGUGUCAAAACAAACAAAAAACAUAUGUAUGUUUGCAUUGUUAAUGCCUGAGGAAAUGAAUUUCUAUAUCUUUUAAUGUCACGUGUAUAAGUACAGUGAAAUGCCUUUCUUGCAAGCUCCAAACCCAACAAUGCAGUAAUCAAUAUCAAUGUAGCACUAAAAAAUAACAUAAGGUAGAACAAAAACACACAAGUAAUAAAAAAUAGGAAAUAAGAAGAACACGAGAAAGUAAUGGUCAGUUCCAAUACCAUAUUUACAAUGUGCAGGGAUACUGGAGUGAUACAGGUAGAUAUGUAUAGGGGUAAGGUGACUAGGCAUCAGGAUAUAUGAUAAACAGAGUAGCAGCAGUGUAAAUUAUGAUUGUGAAUGUGUGUAGAGUCAGUGUAAAUGUUUGUGCAUGUUAUAUGUGUGUUGGAGUGUCAGUGUGCAUGAGUGUGUAGAGUCCUAUAAAAUAUGUACUCGGGGGUUCAAACAAGUUAACUCAAAAUGUGCUAGCAGUGUUAUUACAAGUCUUAUUGAAACAUUCAGUGAAAGUUAAGGAAGUUAUAAUAUAUAUAUAUAUAUAUAAUAACCUAUAAUUUUCACUUCUCAGAGCAUGAAUAAAAACUCCCAGGGAAACUUUCAAGGAACCAGAGGAAAACAUUCUCAGAACCUCCCCACAACCUAACGACAUUUUCACUUAUGUUCUCAGAAUGUUUCAAAAGCUCGUUUCACAACCAAUGUGAAACGAAAAACAUACGUACCCACAACUUCCAGGGAACCAAAUGUGCUAGCUGGGAAACAGUCUGAACAGCAGCAUCUCCAGUAAACAGCAUGGCCAUAAAGCUCCCAUCUCAUUCUCAACAGUAUCAUACAUACCACUGACCUGAACAAGCUACGGGAUCACACUGUACACCAACUGAGAAUGGGUUACCAUGGCAACACGUGUGUCAUCCGUUAUCCCUUGAACUGUGAUUAUUUACCUCGGCAGGGAUGUUAUUGUCUCUGUCCGUUUGGCACGGUGUGUGUGUGUGUGUGUGUGUGUGUGUGUGUGUGUGUGUGUGUGUGUGUGUGUAUAUCCAUGGGUUUGUGUGUGUGUGUGUGUGUGUGUGUGUGUGUGUGUGUGUGUGUGUGUGUGUGUGUGUGUGUGUGUGUGUGUGUGUGUGUGUGUGUGUGUGUGUCUCUCUCUCUCUCAUCUUGUCAGACCAUUUUGUAACAGUAUACUAAAAUAAUAUAACGUGCUUGUUUUAACUAGGUGUUCCUUGUUCACACGGAGCACUUCUUUUAUCCUAAAAGCAUGGGACGGUUUCCCACCAUGCCGUGAUCUAAUGAAUUAAAUGAGCCCUGCCAGCACAUGGCUCCUAUGAUGAGACACAGAAAACCAAAGAGGUAGGCUUAUUUUAUUAAUGGAUGAUUAGAAUCUAUCUACAUAGUUCUUGGGUCGAGUCGGAAAGCGCACCUGGAGCACAAAAUGUGCAUACUGUAUCCAUCAACGUCGAUUAUUCGUGGCAGAAAUGUAAAAGGAAAAUCUUUAGUGAAACCAUGAAAUAAGAUUUCAAAGGGUGCUCCAACAAACGGCAGCAGGUGCAACCUGGCUAUGGACAUUUUACUUGUGACGGAAGAGUCAUAUGACUUAAGAGUUAUAUCUUGAGAAUGUGUCAUGCCAGGCUGCCAUGGCGUUCUGUUUUGAGAUAAAGUACAAUUCAAGCACCCUGUUUGUGGGACUACUGCCACUACUACCGUGCUGAAGAUAACAGCACAACAUGUGCAGAUAGAUGAGCCAAACAUGGUACAGUGAUUUGCCCAAGCUUCCGCUUUCCAUAACAGAAGUCAUGUGUAGAUCGUGUAGAUUAUGGAAUGUAAACACUUAGCUUUCCUCAGGCAGGAAAGGGUUAACGGGCGAUAGAAAAAUGUCAAUUCCAAUGAGUUUAGAGGCGCUAGGAAGCUCGGGGGGGCCAGCUAAGUUCACGCUGUGCAGAAUGUGGACAGUGUUUCCAGCUGACUUAAUUUACAGGCAACGUAGGCAUAUCGUGCAGCACUCAGAGGCACGUCGAGAGGGGGGACAGAAAGGGGAAGAGGGGGAUUAGAGGAAGCCAAUUGUGAACGGAAAUAGACAUUGUUUCAUUGAAACAGUAUUUUAUUUUGACUUAACUAGGCAAGUCAGUUAAGACCAAAUUCUUAUUUACAAUGACGGCCUACCACAUCCAAACCCUGGGCCAAUUGUGCGCCACCCUAUGGGACUCCCAAUCACAGCCGGUUGUGUUACAGCCUGGAAUCAAACCAGGGUCUGUAGUGACACCUCUAGCACUGAGAUGCAGUGUCUUAGACCGCUGCGCCACUUGGAGAGCCCCCACAGUACAACCUCUCGCUACCUGUGGCUUUCCCGCCAUCUGUCUCCGUCUGUGCUCUCACAAGAACCUGACAAAGAGGGAAACCAGCGUGGUCGAAGAUUGGAGCUGCAGCGGUGAUCAGAGGAGAGUGCGCAGGUGAACAGCCGGUGACUAUUGAGCCUGAGCCCCUUCAGCAUCAACUGGAAACCCUAGAGAGCUUCUGUUGCCAAGGCCCAUCUCAGGCAAUAAACCCACGGGUCACUAAGUGUGUUGCUCAAUGUGAUUCAUCUCUAUGGAAAAAUCAAAGGGGGCUAGCUACACUGCCCUGCUGGCAAUGCAGCAUUGCUGGACUUUUAGAGCCAAAGGAGGCAUCCCAAUCCAAAUGAAUUGUACGGUUUACUUUCAGAAGACAGGCCUCACAGUGUGAACUCAUAAAAGUCAGAAGUGUUGAUCACAAUGCACUCUAUAUCUACCAAGUUCAAUGUGCCAGUAUAAUGUUAAGGGUAGUUCAAAUACUGUCAUAUCUCUGUGUUAGUAGAGCGUUUACAUCAUAUGUAAGAUAGAACUCUCCUGAUAUAUAUCUGUAACUGCCAAAAUAAAGGACACGC
rnacentral:lncRNA from 1 species